rnacentral:lncRNA from 1 species
CUGCUUUUCGUUUCCUGUGUGUCCUUUCAGAGCUCCUUUUGCUUUCAAAAGCAAAUACAAAUACGGGCAGCUUCUGAAUGGAUGGCCAAGUGACUCUGGAGCUUCCGCGCUGUGUGAGGGCUGGGCUUUCUGUCCCUGUUCACCCUCGAACCCAGGCUUCAGCCACCGCACGGAGAAGAUGGUUCAGACCGCACCUCUACCCUGACUCAGCACACACAGCUGUACCGUCAGGGGCUGCAAACUAACAUCUCUCAGGGCCUUCCUGGAGGUCGGGGCUCCUGGAGGGUCCCUGGGCUCUGGGGAACAGAAGAACAGUACGGUGAAUGGAUUGGGAAAGAUGUCUGGGGCCCAAGGCGAAGUAGGAAGUAAGUGCAUGUUUGCCUACUGUGACCAUGCAGAAGAUCACCUCUUCAAGGAGGUGACGGGUGGGUGCAUGAGGCUGAGUCGGUCCACAGAGCCUCAAGAGGCAGGACAGGUCCUUUCCAGCUUUGGGCCUCUCUUUUCCUCAUCUGUGCAAUGGGAAG